GAGCCCAAACCACUAUUAAUUCGAACAGCAUGUUUUUUUUGCAGUGCGCAAUGUUUAACACACUAUAUUGUCAAUACUACUAAAGAUAACACAUACCAAUUCAUUUCGUCUUAAAGAUAAUUUUAUUCUCUUCAUGAUGAAAAAAAAAAAUAAUGCUCUCUUUCCAACAACAACAAAAAUAUGAGUAAUUUACUAAAACGGUCUACUUAAGAGAUAAGAAAAAAUUGACCACUAUUAAUUCGAACGCUGCGUAAGCUUACCUUAAUCUCAAGAAGAGCAAAACAAAAGCAGCUAAUGUAACGGAAUCACUAUCUAGUUAUGAUCUGCAAAUAAUGUCACAAUACAGCAUGCAAAAAAAUUUUUGAAUUGCUGCAGAUCAGUGAAAGUUUAGCAACGAUGGUGCGUGGUAAACCAAUUUGUAAAGAAAUCAGAGUAUUGAUUAGGGAUUAUUUUAAAUCUGGAAAGACACUUACGGAGAUAAGCAAGCAAUUAAAUUUGCCUAAGUCGUCUGUGCAUGGGGUGAUAAAAAUUUUCAAAAAAAAAUGGGAAUAUUGAAAAUAACAUUGCGAAUAGAGGCCGAACAUCAGCAAUAACACCGCGCGACAAAAGACAACUGGCCAAAAUUGUUAAGGCUGAUCGUCGCCAAUCUUUAAGAAAUUUGGCUUCUGAAUGGUCGCAGACAAUUGGCAAAACUGUCCACCGAGAGUGGACUCGACUGCAAUUAAAAAGUAUUGGAUAUGGUUUUUAUAAAGCCAAGGAAAAACCCUUGCUUACGCUUCGUCACAAAAAGAAGCGUUUGCAAUGGGCUCGGGAAAGGAUGUCUUGGACUCAAAGGCAAUGGGAUACCAUCAUAUUCAGCGAUGAAGCUAAAUUUGAUGUUAGUGUCGGCGAUACGAGAAAACGCG